UACGUAGGGUGCGAGCGUUAAUCGGAAUUACUGGGCGUAAAGCGUGCGCAGGCGGUUAUGUAAGACAGGUGUGAAAUCCUCGGGCUUAACCUGGGAACUGCAUUUGUGACUGCAUAGCUAGAGUACGGUAGAGGGGGAUGGAAUUCCGCGUGUAGCAGUGAAAUGCGUAGAUAUGCGGAGGAACACCGAUGGCGAAGGCAAUCCCCUGGACCUGUACUGACGCUCAUGCACGAAAGCGUGGGGAGCAAACAGG
rnacentral:rRNA from 1 species